GCUGGUGUGGCUCAAUGGCAGAGCAGCUGAUUUGUAAUCAGCAUGUUGAUGGUUCGACUCCGUUCACCAGCU
rnacentral:tRNA from 1 species